rnacentral:rRNA from 2 species
UUUUAAUUGAAGGCUUGUAUGAAGGGUCGGACAAAGGAUAAGCUGUCUUUAACUUUUCUUUUGAAUUUGUCUUUUAAGUGAAAAGACUUAAAUUGUUUUAAGGGACGAUAAGACCCUAUAAAGCUUUAUAUUAAUAUAUUUUUAUUUUAAUUUUUAAUGUUUAUAAAAGUAAAGGUGUAAAAUAUUAUAUUGGGGUGAUAAGAAUAAUUAAUAAACUGUUCUAAAAAAAACAAAGUUAUUUGUAAACAUAAUAGAUCCUUUAUAUAGAUUGAAAGUUUAAGUUACUUUAGGGAUAACAGCGUUAUUUUUUUUGAGAGUUCUAAUCGAAAAAAAAGUUUGCGACCUCGAUGUUGAAUUAAAAUUUCUUUAUGGUGUAGCCGUUAUAAAAGAAAGUCUGUUCGACUUUUAAAAUUUUACGUGAUCU